ACUGGAACACUGAUAAGUUGAAUGAGACCACAGGUGCAUUUGCAAGUUGUUUUGUUCAAGAUCAAAACUGCACGAUCUUGUUGGCAAUAAUGCAACAUUUGUUCUUGCAAGAUGUCUAUAUCGGUGUAAAAGUUCUGAAAGCAAAUAUGUCAUCAUCGACCGAACAGUAGCCAUUCCCUUCAGCUCCCGCGCUGCUAUUAAGCGUGUCACCGUCGACGGCGGCGUCACCCUUCGGCCGGGGCCCAAGCGCCAGUCAGCCAGCUGCCCCAAACAUGCGUGACGUUUAUAUUGUGCGCCGAAAAACAAACGCACUACCGCCCUUUGCUAUGAAAAGUUAUCAGAGCGCCUGGAAGAAUAUAGAUGGACGAAGGGCUUUCCAGAAGAACAAAUUAAAAUCGGCUCAAAUAAUGCUAGAAAUCAAAAAAGAAAGGAUGAUUGACAUACCCUCCACUGAUGAUGUUGCAUCUGGUUUCUUGCCACCUGAACUCGCCUCCCAGCUCUUAAGACCGGCUACUCAUUGAUUUAAGAUCCUUCCAUUAUACAGGGAUCACUUAGGUGCCCUAACCCUUCAUGAGCUCUCUGUUUUUGACAUUAUACCUGGCAUAUGUGUACCAUUGCUGUUUGCAAGUGCAUCUUCUGUUUGGAGUGCAUAAAAUAUGGUCAGAAGAAGAAAUGUAUUUAUUUUGGGAAGGUUUGUAAAUGCAAAUGUGUGUGUAUGUGUGUUGUGAUAGAAGGGGCCUCAUGGCAGCCCUGCAUAUCCAGAAUAACACUAAUAGUUUUAAACAAAAAUAAGACCUUAAUUAACAAAAAUAAACACAAGAGAGAAAUAAGUACCUGGUGAAAAAUGUACACAGGAAAGAGAGACAUACAGGUUAAUGGCUUCUGUCCUGUCCCUUUUGUCGGGCAGACUGGCUUUUCUACUUGUCCACCAAAUUAGCACCAAGAAAUCAAUAUUUUGCCUCUUAAAUCUCUCUCUCUCUCUCUCGAUCGAUCUCUCGACACUGGCCUUUUUGUGGCCAGAUGACUGUAUCCAGGUAAUUUACAGACAAGCUCCAGGGCUUCUCAAGUUUGACUUCUGGCGUUAAUGCACCUCUAAGUCUUUAGUUGUUUUAACAAAGCUAGAUUUGUUUUUGACUACCUGCUUUACAGACAGCACAGACCCCAGUCAUUCCAGUCUGGUACAGUAUUAUUUGACUUGAUAGGCAGGAGGGUAAUUGUUGAAUUCCUGCUAGUGCCUGUCUUGCCAGGUGCUAUCUCCAACCUCCUGCAAACCCUUUGUGAAUUUAUUUGGUCCCUACUCAUUCAGCUUCAUUCCCUCUGAUCCUGAUUGGAAACAUCAUGCUUCUUCUAAGGCUACAACUUCUAAGGCUUCUUUCUACCCAUCUGGGAAACCUAUGCACACAUACUGGAUUGUGGGUACCUUCUGCCAUAUUAGUUCUGCUCUUGCCUCUGGUAAUCUCCACUCAGCCAAGCACCACUUCAGUGUGCCCUGUUAUGAACUGAUAAGCAAUCCAGAGCUGGUUCCUGCCGUAUGCAUGCUGUUUUUGAUAUUGUUUGUUACCCUUGUAAGUGUAUAAUAAAAAAAGGUAAUGGAAGUGGAUGGAUAGCUGGAAGAAUAUUUGCAAUUUUAAAAGUGUCUUUUUUGUGAGACAAAACAAA